CGGACUGUAGCGCAGCUUGGUAGCGCACCGUCAUGGGGUGUCGGGGGUCGGAGGUUCAAAUCCUCUCAGUCCGA
rfam:Vibrio sp. 2756-81 Vn_2756-81_contig1, whole genome shotgun sequence.